rnacentral:rRNA from 1 species
GUCUACGGCCAUACCACCCUGAACGCGCCCGAUCUCGUCUGAUCUCGGAAGCUAAGCAGGGUCGGGCCUGGUUAGUACUUGGAAGGGAAAUGCAAGUUUUCACCUUGUUUAAUAUGUAAAGAACUGUAGGAU